ensembl:lncRNA
CCACCCCCCUCCCCCCCCAACCGCGCAACAAUUACCCCUUUUAGGAUCGGCUAAUCCUGAAAUAUGGGCCUGUGACUAAUGGCGGAAUUUAGCAAGAAAUCAGCUCCAGUUUCACCGGCUUUAUUGACUCUAAUGCAGGAUGCAGAUACCUUCAGCUAUGAUGGAUGAGCGUGGGGAUACUGUCAGCCCCCCCCCUCCUCCUCCUCCUGCUCCUCCUCCUCCUCUUUCACUGUUGCCUUUGUGCAGGUGAUAAUGAAAAGUGUCAGAGAAGCAUGUAGCGGGCCCUUUUCACUGGCUCUCGCCAAAAGAAUGAGCCGCCAUGACAACAUUGACGUUGGAGUUUGUUGUUUCACAGGGCGAGGCGCUUCGCAGACGUCCCUCCUCCCUUAUUGUAUCGCGGCCGUCAAUAAACUGCAAUAUUGUGUCUCACUCUUGAGCGUGUGCCAGCCUGCUCCCACAUUCUGCUACAGGGGGGGGGGGGGCGGCGAUUGAGCAUAAAGCCACAAAAGCGGGGUCUUAGUGUACUUUGCUGCACAAACGAGUUAUCAAUCACGCUCUGCAUGCGAGGUGAUGGAUACGCGAGGCGCUUUUAUUUGACAGUGACAGAUAUGGUGCCGAUGAAUGAGUGCAGAUUGCCCGAUAAAUCAACCCCUCAAAUGUUUCAGACUCUGCUAAUCAUGGGCUUUUACUUUGAAGGGAACAAAGUCAAUAUUUGCGUUGUUGCACCUGCAGGGUUAAGAAAAUAAAGAGGGUUCGGGUGAAUACAAAGUUAUCCGACUAAAUCCUCGGGGAGUUUAGUUUGUGAGUGUCAUCAAAUUCCUGGAGACUGAGAUCAGAUCAGAAUGUCGUCGACUUCACUCGACCACUGAAGCGGAAUAAUCUCAAGUGGCAACAAAUGUGGAAUGAAAAUGAAAUUUGCGGCUCAAUCAUCCAUCAAAGUGAUGAUGCACUAGUAUCAGUUUGUGUGAAAAUAUGUGUGGAAACUAGAACUGGAGAAUAAUAUGAAUUUCAUUGUACAGAGUAACCUGUUAAACUGCACAUGCCCAUAAGUCAGGAAUCAUCAGGGACCAGGAAACAUUUAUUGCCAUAAUAUGUGAGACAUACAAGGGAUUUGACGUGGCGGUUGGUGCGUGACAGCAGACAGAACAACAACGGACGACAAGACAACAGUGCACGAGGAAUAAAAUAAAAUAUAAUGCUAUGGGUUAGUUUAAAAAUUAAAGUUUAAAAUGUUUAAAAAUAAAGUGCAAACAGCGGAGCAGAGGGAAGGGGCACAAACAGGUUUUGUCCGGGGUGAGAGGGGUCUACUGUAUAGAGGGGUCUAUGUAGGAGGUCUAUAUAGGGGUCUAUAUAGGGGGUCUAUGUAGGGGUCUAUAUAGGGGUCUAUAUAGGGGGUCUAUAUAGUGGUCUAUGUAGGGGGUCUAUGUAGGAGAAAUAUCUUCAAUCUUGAAUUUAAUACGUAAUAAGUACAUUUUUGUUCUCAUUCCGAGGUGAUGAGAUCAACUUCACAGCAGCUGCUGUGAUAAUAUAAUUAUUAUGUACAUUACAGGUCAUUUAGCAGACGCUUUUUAUCCAAAGCAACUUACAUUACACUUUAAACUCAUGGCUUUUUCACAUUUUUGCCCGGGGAGCAAUUAGGGGGUUAGGUGUCUUGCUCAGGGACACUUGGACAUGGAACAUGGGGCAGCCUGGAAUCGAACCACCAACCUUGUGCUUCCCAGCACACCUUCUCUAACCCCUGCGCCACGACGACGGGAGAUGUUAUUUAGCAAUUUAUUCUUAAAUAUAGUUUGCUUAAUUGUUUGGGUAAUUGGAUCACUAAUGCUGUGGGCACCUGGAGGUUACGUAGCCAGGUGGGACCAGCAUGCACCUGGGUGACAAAUAGUUUUCACCAGUGAGUCAGAGCGACAGAGCGACAUGCACUGCAUGGGAAAGCAGACAAGUUGCGUAUGUGUUGUGGAUUCUGUGGAAUAAAGGCGAAACAAAGGAAAAGAUCGCCCGGACAAUCCGCUUUCUUACUGCGUGAAAGAAAACAAAAACUAGGUGCAGCAGUGGCUCUUUGAGAUGUAAAGAUUAGUUGGUAACAAGGACAAAUGGCCACUACAAGUACGCUAGUAUCAUAAUGUGUGACCCUGUAACUGAUCUAGAAGCAUGAAGAUAUGAAAAUAAUAAAAUGUAGGGUCUGGAAAACAGCUGUUGUUUUGUCCACUAAUAUUUUUGCAUGUCUAAUAUUUUGAGGAUAAACACAUUUUGCUUGUGUGAAAAACACUGUUGGUUAUUUAUAAGUAAGGUUGAUUUACUGGAGGUGUGUCGGAGAAGUUUUAUUCUUUGUCCUGUCAUUGUUCAAACAGCUUCAUCAAAUGUUCUUAUUUCACUGUAAGAAAACACAGUGGAAACAAAGAGGAACACAAAACAAACAACAAAAACAAAAAAGAAGAAUUGUAUAUUUUUUGAUCCUACGAAUCAACACUUAAGGUAAGGUAAAAAUAAUAGAUAAAAAGGUAAUAUAUGAAAUAUAAAAUACCCAAACCUGUUGGAAAACAUAUUUUUUAAUUAAGUAAAAAAUAUAAAACGACAUAUCAAAUAUUACAUAUGAAUGAGCUCAUAACCGGAUCUUGUUUUAUAAAGAUAUUUCCCUUUCGACCGAGUUACAUGCAACUGUAUUACGUAAGUAAGCCGACUUCUGCCAUGAAAGAUGAAAUAAAACUUUUGUCCUGCAGUAAACACCUGCAGGGAACAUGAGCAGAGAGCCGACACGCAUAUUCCUGAAAAGAUGGAAUACAUAUUUACAUCACACACAAGCGGCGUUUGACCGCCUCUGCCACCUGUUUGAUGUCAAACAGGAGAUUCUGAUAAAAAGCCCGGUACCCGUUAUGAAAACGCUGUUGCAUAAAUACAAGUGAAACCCGGCUCUCAGGAGUUUAUCUUAUGAGUAAACAGGUGUAUAUAUUACUCAAACAACAACAGGAGAAUAAUGUUGAGGCAAUAAAUAGUUGACUGCGGAGAGGAUUUACGCCACGAUGAAAUAAAGUUUAUGUGGAGGUUUGAUGCAGGAGUCACGACACCAGAGUUCCUGUGAAAUAAUGCUGAAUUCAAGCAGCACAAUGAGUCUUCUUCUCCACGGAGGGACGGGAGGGAGAGGGUGAGGGAGAGGGGGAGGUGGAGGGGAGAUUGUAUCUUGGCAGUUGCAAAAGCAAACUGUCUGAUGUGACACAUAACAACAUCCAAAGACAACAGCAAUAAGUCACGCUCAUGAGCCCAAAAGGCAAAUAUGAUCAGGUGUUGUUUUAACAGCGAUGCAAAUCAGCCCAAAGUGAUACUUCUGGAACACGUCUCCUGCGUGUCUUCACACGUCCAUUUAAUCCAAACUGCAGAAUAAACUGAAGUUUUAAAUUUGGAUUUAAAACCCCCCUUCCCUCCCCCACGUCCACCCCGUCACCUCAUCCGUCCGUCAGCAGCCUCUUCUGCUCGGUAACAGUUAGGAAUGGUCAUUGGUGUUUAAUGACACUGAAUCCCUCUUUAUUGCUGAUGUUAAGCACUAAUAUGAAGUCAGGCGCUUAGUAAUGACCCCCCAGGGGGGGGUGCGUGGGGGGGGGGGCACUUUGGUGAAGGGGAAUAGUAUUAAAGUGCUGCAGCAGCUGCAGCGCUCUCCGUCCCAGCGGGUUUUAGAAUCACAAUCAGUGCAGAAAAUGAAACAUUACAGUCGAUCGGAGCG